GAAUGUCUUCAGGGCGGGGUGAAAGUCCCCACCGGCGGUAUAGUCCGCGAGCGGCCUCGGCCGCAGAACCGGUUGGAUUCCGGUACCGACAGUUACAGUCUGGAUGAAAGAAGAUGUGU
rnacentral:ncRNA from 2 species